UCUUGACUCAGACUGUGACAGGUCUCUGUCCGGAUGGGGCUGGUCACAGUUAUGAGUGCUUGUUCCCUUUUUUUGAUCUCUGUCCUCUCUUUUCUUCUGACUGGAAGGGACCAAACUAUUCAAUGUGGUGGGACAACUCUACAGCUGAGGAAGCCCCUGGUGGAGUUUGAGAUGCACAGCAGUUGCUGUGGGUGGUUCUGAUAUUGGCUAAGGGUACAUGGGGGUUCAUGGGAAGGAUCUGUGUGUGAAAUGUUAACAUCUCACAAGUGGCCGAGGCUGGUGGUCACCACAUUAAUAAUAUGCUACUGCACUGAUGGCAUCCAACCCAAGGAUACAUUCCUGCUGUAAUGGGCAGCAGCUGGACCGGGGUUUCCGGGAGGACAGCUGAGCGCUGGCGGACACAGAGGGACACCCCCGACCUUCCCGACCCCCCUACUGACUGCGUGUCUCAUCCAAGUUUUGUAGCUAUUGCAAUA